UCCUUUAAUUAUUUUUGCUAUGUGGCCCAGGAUUCUGUAUUCUAAGAAACUCUAACCAUAACUCUUAACCAUAUGGUUGUCCUGACAAGAUCUGCAUGAUGACAACCCAAGACGCUGUUGCAACAUUAUCAGAGGAAGUCUCACAAGAGCACUACAAGAAAUGUUAGAGGCAGUGAAAAAUUGCCAAAAGAGGUUAAAUGAGUGUACUCUAGGGAUGAACCCUGUAAUGGUGGUCAGUCCGUCCUAAAAACGUUUACAUAAAAAGUGCUGACUGGGCAUAACUGAUGCUUUUAGCUAUUUAUCUUUACUUCAGUACUUACCCAGCCAUACUGAGAGAUCUUUAAACUUGGCUUUCUGUACCAUGUUGCCAAUAUUUCAUUUUCUCUCACUAAUAAACAAAUUCUGUCUUUCUUAGAACGUAAGAGCUGUGCAACUGACACAUCUGGAAUUCUGGAGGAUCAUGGAAUACACAGCUCUUCUUGAUGGGGACACGAACUUCAUUAGAAAUAACUUCGGCUUUCAGGAAGCAAACAUUACACACCCACCUCCUCCACUGGGAAAACUGAGGCUCACUGUGUGCUCACAGCCACGUCCAGGUGCAGUGUUUUCUGCCUGAGGUGAUGACAUUAGUCUUUAAUGUACAGGUAUUCUAGUAAUGCACGUAGGUAAAAGAAAUGGGCCUUGCAUGUCUUCAGUACCUCUGGCUGCCUGGGGCUCAAAGGGCUCUGGGUGAGGCACUUGUGGUGCAUUAUAUUUGAGCAGCAAAGGCUUCUGGGUGAGGCAGUUGGCGUGCAUUAUAUUUGAGCGCAAAGGCUUCUGGGUGAGGCAGUUGGCGUGCAUUGUAUUUGAGCGCAAAGGCUUCUGGGUAAAGCAGUUAACGAGCUUUGCUGUUGCUCCUGCGCAAAGGCCUCUGGAUGAAGCAGUUGGUGUGCGGUGCUGCUGCCUGUACUUGGAGGACUCCUCUGGACUCCUGGGCUGUGCGCUCGGGGAGACGGUUGUUUCAGCCAUUAGGCUCAGGCAGAAGAGUUCAUCUGUUGCUGCAAGUUCCCAAGUCUGUCUUCUGUGGGUCUCAGCUGUCAUCUGUGGGUCUGACCAUCUGCUGGUCUUGGAAGCCUUCAGUCAGAUGUAUCUGGACCAAGUGAUUUGGUUGCAAGAGGCCAGGACUCCUGCCAUCUUGGAAGCCUCUCCAUUACCUGUUCACACGACACACGGAGCAUCCUUUGUGCCCUGAAGAAAACUCUGACCCCUCAACAGAAUAUGAAUGGCAGGGCAGAAAUACAAGUUGAGGCUACAUAAGUCAGUGCUUUGGGAACAGUUGUCAAGGCCCUGGUGAAACUCUCCACACCCAAUGACAAGUUCCUGUGUGUCACACUCUUGGUAACACUUCUGCCUAUGAAAUUAAACUCAGCUCUCUGAGGACUCAGUGGCUGAUCUUCUCUCAAACAUAGACUGCCUAAGAUAAGAAAUCAUUCAGCUUUCAAUAUCUCAAAAUUUUGACAGGAUAUCUCCAUAUUUCACUGCUGUUCUUAUCCAGGAUCAAGCUUGGAACCAGCUCCCGCUCUGACUUCAGCUGUCAAACACUGCAGACUUCACCUUGACUCUACUCAACGCACAGCGUGUGCCUCACCUUUCAUGCAGUCAGACACCCC
rnacentral:sRNA from 1 species